rnacentral:rRNA from 1 species
UACGAAGGGGGCUAGCGUUGCUCGGAAUCACUGGGCGUAAAGGGUGCGUAGGCGGGUUUUUAAGUAGGGUGUGAAAGCCCCCGGCUCAACCGGGGAAUUGCGCCCUAAACUGGCGAGCUGGAGUGAGAUAGGGGUGUGUGGAACUUCCGGUGGAGCGGUGAAAUGUGUUGAUAUCGGAAGGAACGCCGGUGGCGAAAGCGACACACUGGAUCUUGUCUGACGCUGAGGCACGAAAGCCAGGGGAGCGAACGGG